UGUCUUUUGAGUACCUUCGUUUCCUCGGCGGGUCCGCCCGCCGAUUGGACAACAUUCAAACCCUUUGCAGUUGCAAUCAGCGUCUGAAAAAACAUAAUAGUUACAACUUUCAACAACGGAUCUCUUGGUUCUGGCAUCGAUGAAGAACGCAGCGAAAUGCGAUAAGUAGUGUGAAUUGCAGAAUUCAGUGAAUCAUCGAAUCUUUGAACGCACAUUGCGCCCCUUGGUAUUCCAUGGGGCAUGCCUGUUCGAGCGUCAUUUGUACCUUCAAGCUCUGCUUGGUGUUGGGUGUUUGUCUCGCCUCUGCGUGUAGACUCGCCUUAAAACAAUUGGCAGCCGGCGUAUUGAUUUCGGAGCGCAGUACAUCUCGCGCUUUGCACUCAUAACGACGACGUCCAAAAGUACAUUUUUACACUCUUGACCUCGGAUCAGGUAGGGAUACCCGCUGAACUUAAGCAUAUC
rnacentral:rRNA from 1 species